rnacentral:tRNA from 1 species
AUUUAAGUAGUUUAAUUAAAAUAUUGAUUUGUGGGAUCAAAGAUAUAUAAUAUUAUCUUAAAUA